rnacentral:rRNA from 1 species
GACAGAGGUCCCAAGCGUUAGGCGGAAUCACUGGGCUUAAAGCGUGUGUAGGCGGACUUCUAAGUACCUUGUGAAAUCCCACGGCUCAACCGUGGAACUGCUUGGUAUACUGGUUGUCUUGGGCCAUCUAGGGGCUAGCGGAACAAACGGUGGAGCGGUGAAAUGCGUAGAUAUCGUUUGGAACGCCAAUGGUGAACACAGCUAGCUGGGGAUGUGCCGACGCUGAGACACGAAAGCCAGGUGAGCGAACGGG